rnacentral:lncRNA from 1 species
UUUAAUUAGAUCAUCAUCAAUGCUCCCUCUAUUGCCAAAUUUAUUGCUCCCAUUUGAAAUAUUUGCCAUUUGGGGCAUCUAAUUUAUCACAACCACCAAUUAAUCCUCUCUCUCCCCUUCUCUCCAUCUUUCUUUAGUUUUUUUGACGGCAAGAACUAGAUAACAACUGAAAUCUCCAUCAAAACUAGAUACCAACUUGCUUAUAAGCUGUUAAAUUUCUUGGGUUUUCCAUUUAGCUAAAUAUUUGGUCAUUUGGUAGAUGGGAUUCUUGUUAACACAUGCUUCAACUGUAAAG